AAAUUAGAAGGCUUAGAAGUCUUUAGGGAACUAAGAUGACAUUCUGGGAGUGAUGGAACAAGAGAACGGGCUAAUGUGAUGAUACCAAGAUCAGAAAUGUUAGGACAGAUGCAAGAGGUGUUUGGAGGCAGCAGUGCCCAGCGAUAAAAAUAAAGAUCACACAUAUGAGAUUCAUAUAUAAUCUGGAAAAUUCUAGAAGAUAUACUUUGAAAAGAGAAGAAUAAACAGGCAACAAGACCAGCCAGGCAGCUCAGUGAGUCAAGGUGCCCACUGUACAAGUGUGAAGACUUUAGUUCUGGCGCCAGAACCCAAGUAAAGGUGGGAAAAGAGGAUCAACUUCACAAAGUUUCCCCCUGACCUCCACACAUGUUCUGUGUUAUGUGCACCCAUCAUAGCCACCCCCUUGAUGAUAAAUAAACAGGGCAGAUGGAUGCGAAGAAACGAGACACGCUUUGGAACCAGACUCCCUGUACAUGGAGGAGAAAGAAGAGGCAGAAACAGUUACAACACGCCAGGGGUUCAAGGGAGAGUCUCAGGUCCUGUGAGGACUCAGUUCAAAGUGAUGCAGGAAUAUUCAGACAGAAAUACUUUGUCUCACCAUGAAAACUGACUACUACAAUCCAAGCAGGAAGUCAGAAGAGGAACCGGAUUGGCAGGCGCCCGGGGCAUUAAAUAAGUGGCUCUUCUCGGUGGCUUGUGAAGGAGACACCCAAGGCAUCGCCGUGACAACUAAGUAAUUCUUAUUUUUCAAAAGCCCUGUGUUGGCUUAAGCUCCGCACACAGUCUGUCUGAAUGUGGUUUGUGGCGGGCCAGGUAAUGAAUAAGCAGGCCUGCUAGAAUGACUCCACCCUGAGAAGAAACCCAAGACGUCCAUUCAUAUAAAAGGCCAAGGAAACAACUAUAAAUAAACUCACAGGUGCUGAAGAUAUUGACUGCCA
rnacentral:lncRNA from 1 species